AGCCCUUCCAUAGCAACCGGUUGCCAUAAGAACUGUGCAACCACCCCUUUUUGGACCGUUGAUAAACUUAUUGGAAGGCUGAGAUUGAAACAUAAAUAUAACCAGCCGGCACAACUUGUACCGGCUUUUAUUUUAAUAUGAGGACCCCACCAUAGUCAACAUGUUGUCAGUUUAUUGAAAUAAAAUGAAUUUUUAAUAUUAAAUAAUGUCCGACCGGCAC
rnacentral:lncRNA from 1 species